rnacentral:rRNA from 1 species
AUUGAACGCUGGCGGCAUGCCUUACACAUGCAAGUCGAACGGCAGCACGGGGGCAACCCUGGUGGCGAGUGGCGAACGGGUGAGUAAUACAUCGGAACGUGCCCGGUAGUGGGGGAUAGCUCGGCGAAAGCCGGAUUAAUACCGCAUACGACCUGCGGGUGAAAGCGGGGGAUCGCAAGACCUCGCGCUAUCGGAGCGGCCGAUGUCAGAUUAGGUUGUUGGUGGGGUAAAGGCCACCAAGCCGACGAUCUGUAGCUGGUCUGAGAGGACGACCAGCCACACUGGGACUGAGACACGGCCCAGACUCCUACGGGAGGCAGCAGUGGGGAAUUUUGGACAAUGGGCGCAAGCCUGAUCCAGCCAUGCCGCGUGC